rnacentral:rRNA from 1 species
UAGGUAGGGGGCAAGCGUUGUCCGGAAUCAUUGGGCGUAAAGCGCGUGUAGGCGGUCCGGUAAGGCGGUUGGGAAAGUCCAGGGCUCAACCCUGGGAUGCCGACCGAUACUGUCGGACUAGAGUGCGGAAGAGGCGAGUGGAAUUCCCGGUGUAGCGGUGAAAUGCGCAGAUAUCGGGAGGAACACCAAUGGCGAAGGCAGCUCGCUGGGACGUUACUGACGCUGAGACGCGAAAGCGUGGGGAGCAAACAGG